GUGGGGAAUAUUGGACAAUGGGCGCAAGCCUGAUCCAGCCAUGCCGCGUGAGUGAUGAAGGCCUUCGGGUUGUAAAGCUCUUUAGCCGAUGAUUAUAAUGACUGUAGUCGGAAAAUAAGCCCCGGCUAACUUCGUGCCAGCAGCCGCGGUAAUACGAAGGGGGCGAGCGUUAUUCGGAAUCACUGGGCGUAAAGCGUGCGUAGGCGGCUUUGCAAGUUGGGAGUGAAAGCCCAGGGCUCAACCCUGGAAUUGCUCUCAAAACUGCAAGGCUCGAAUUCGGGAGAGGAUAGCGGAAUUGUCAGUGUAGCAGUGAAAUGCGUAGAUAUUGACAGGAACACCAGUGGCGUAAGCGGCUAUCUGGACCGAUAUUGACGCUGAGGCACGAAAGCGUGGGGAUCAAACAGGAUUAGAUACCCCGGUAGUCC
rnacentral:rRNA from 1 species